AUGGUACAUAAAAAUUUGGGGGGAAGAUCUUGCUUGAAUAGUCGUACUCAUAACCGCAGCAGGUCUCCAAGGUUAGAAGCCUCUAGUUGGCAGAAUAAUGUAGGUAAGGGAAGUCGGCAAAAUAGAUCUGUAACUUCGGGAAAAAGAUUGGCUCUAAAGGCUGAGUAUAUGGGCUAUAUUUUGAAGUUAUUGGAGAUUAGAUUGUUACGGUUGGCUGUCAUGGUUGGCUGUGAUGGUUUAGUUGAAGAUGAUGGAGGGGUAUAGGUAGAUGUAAAAAGUCUAUGCUGUAUACAAUUAACAGCUAAUUUAGAACUGUUACUGACCAGGGGAAUCCGACUGUUUAAUUAAAACAAGCAUUGUGAUGUUCUCAAUAAGGAUUUUAACACAAUGUGAUUUCUGCCCAGUGCUCUGAAUGUCAAAGUGAAGAAAUUCAAACAAGCGCGGGU
rnacentral:rRNA from 1 species